GGCCGCGUAGCUCAGUGAUAGAGCGUUACCAUUCCUAAGACGUACUACGGUGCGUCAUUUUGGGCUGCAGUACGCUGCAGCCAAGGAUAACAUGGUGAAGGCCUCGGGUUCAGACCCCGAUGCGGCCA